AUAUAUAUAUAUAUAUAUAUAUAUAUAUAUGGAGCACUCACUCAAAUGGCCACUUGGCCAUUUAAUAAAGAAAUGGCCAAAUGGCCAUCAAACAAAUUAUAUAUAUAUAUAUAUAUAUGGCCGUACGGCCAGUUGCAUGAAAUGGCCGAAUGGCCAUUUCAUGAACUGAAGGGCAUUCGGCCCUUCAGUUUAGAAAAAAAAAAUAAUAUAUAUAUAUUAAUGAGUGGGGCGACUUGCGCCCCACAUGGAAAAACAAUAAGUGAAAGGCCAAAUGGCCCUUCACGUGAUGCAAAGGCCAAAUGGCCUUUCAUUAAUAAAAAUUAAAAAUUAAAAAAAAAAAAAAAAAAAAAAAAAAGAAAAGUCAAGAAUUCAAGCAAGUGGUCCACGUUAAAAGAAAAAUGAGAAGUUUUAGAUAACUAAAAGACAAAAAUAAAAAAAUGUUAGAAAAGAUUAAAAGGAAAAGAGAAUUAGAUGAAAACAAAAGAUAACAUAAAAUAGAACAUUAAAUGGAGAGAUGAGGGUGUGUCGGCCAUAAAGAGAGGAAGGGUUAAGUGGAAAGAUAAGUAAAGGGAAAAGAAAAGAAUUAAAAAUAAAAGGAAAUACAAUUGCAUGUGGGACAACCUGCGCCCCACAUGCGUAAAAGUAGAAUGAAGGGCCAAAUGGCCCUUCACUAAUAAAAGGAAGAAAGGCUCCCGAGAGCCUUAUUUCAGAAAAUGGAGAGAGUUCCUCAUUUCUCUUUCCUUAAGGUUUUUACACAAAAUUCAUGAUCUACGAAGAUCUAAUGGUCCGAUCUUCGAUCCGUCUUCAGAAACGUGAUCCCUGCACUUGGAUCUACGUUUCCACCGAUCGUUUUGAGGUUAUGAACAGAGAGACCUAGGCGGCCGGAAUGGGAUCUAGGAAUGCAUUAGAAUAUUGCAUUUAUGUUUUCUUAAUAAGUGCACUUGCACAACAAAUUUAGUUUUCUUUGGAUUUUUAAUUAUUGAAUCAAACAUAAUUGUUUAUUUCGAAAUAACCGUUUCCGCAUUUAUUAAAAGCUCUGAGUUUUGAAAUCAUUAUUAUUUUUAAUUUAUUUAAAUCAGCAUACUAGUUAAGAUAUUUGGCAAACCUUACGAAUCUUUGCAGUUUUUAAAGAGAAAAGAACGAACCUAACCCUUAGUGGUUUGGGGGCGUUACAAUUCGAGCUACCAACAUAAAAGUAUUAUUGUAGGUGGGUUUAUACGUGGUUGCUUCCUAGCCAAAGGAACUUCUAUGUAUGGGUCCAACUGCAUAGUAUGUUUUAAAGGUUUUCUGAUAGUCGGUGUAGGCUAUAUCAGCUAUGGGGGUUUUCAAACAAAAUUCUAUAAAUUGGUAGCUGUUAUAGUGUACGUGAGACUAAAAAGAAAAUUUGGUUCAUUUGGAAAAAAAAACUCAGUUAGUUUAAUAUCACUGAGGUGGUGAACUCAUCCCUUCACCUAUACGGAUGUGGCAAACCCCCACAACCGUAUAGAUGAUGUCCAUUUGACUGCAGGUACACCUGACUUAGAGGAGGACCCCGUAGCUGCGUAUUUGGGAUAUUACGAUUGAAGCACACCGCGACAGUCGUAUUGAGUUGGACUAUGGAGUUCACUCUUUUGGGGUAUUUUGUAUAUGGCUAGUGACGUAGGUGUCACAUAUCCUUUUUUGUAGCCAUUCUCUUGUAUUAGUGGAAUUGUAGCCUUAAACAGUGAGACAGAUAUAUGGCUCUUUUGUAUGGACCACAUGUAUAUUUAGAUGUGCUUUCCGUUAGGAGAUGUAACGUCAUGAUUAUUCCGCUGUUAGAUAUUACUCUGAAUAUCAGGUACAUAAUAUGGACCAUGUAUGUAUGUUGGCUGAGCGACACGUAGUCGUGCCACUGUGAUGACCCUUUUAUGUUUUAUAAAUAUUUUAUACAAAAAAAAAAAUGGGUCGUCACACCAAAUCAAGCACAUAUCUCCAUAAUGGGCAGCAACUCUACACUUAUUGACAACAAGAUUGAAGAAAAUCGUCCAAAAUUCCAAUAUUUCAACAAAGUGGCAAAAUCCUUGAGUUAUGCAUGUCACUUUCAUCAUAACUUUCGACUCGAAAAUUGGAUUGCGUUGAUUUUGGUGGCGUUGGAAAGCUCAUGAAAAAUUAAACAAAUAAGUCUGAAAUAGGUUUUUUCUAUUUCGGACAUUUACUAUGCCCAAAUUGCCCCGCAAUAAAAGUGCGCAAAUCUGUGCGAAUUUGGAGUUUGUCUUUUCCUGCUUUGAUUGGAUUUUGUAUGACUUGGGGACCAGAUUUUAUUAAACCUGCAGCACCGAAAGGCACAAGCUGGGACCACCGGAGUCCCUUUCCAAACAUGUUACUGUGCACCAAAUCAAGACAAAGCGAUUUCCUUCAUGCAACAUGGAAUUGUGCACACCUGGACAGCAGCUCAUCAUCAUCUCCACUCAAUGGGACAGCAUCAUUUCCACUAAAGGGACAGCAGCUCAUCAUCAUCUCCACUCAAUGGACAGCACAUCUUCCACUCAAAUGGACACAUCUCCUUUCUCUGUGUGCAGGACAGCAGCAACUCAAGCACUUGACAGCAUGGACAACAUCAUUUCUCUUCUCCCCAAGCAGCAUCUUCACUUUCUCUAUGUGCUGGACAGCAUCUCCAUACUGUCCAAGCUGCUGGACAGCACGUGAAGGCAGCAACUCUUCUCCAAGACAGCAACCUGCAGCAUGCUAUUUCUAUAUAAAAGGCAGCACCAUGCCAUAGAGAAGAGGGGAGAAUAGGAGAAGAGAGAAUAGGAGAGGAGAGAAUAGAGCAGAAACUCUGUAGUUAGUUUUAAUUUCGUGCUUAUUGUAGUGUAAUUCAGUAGUUUAUUUUCAGAAUACUUUCCCUUUGUAAGAGCUUUUCUUUCAUUUCCAUGGUUGUUCAUCAUUUUCUUGUGGUGUUCUUAGUCAUGGAAGGCUAGUAACCUCAACUAGGGUUGAGGAUGAAACCUUUCCAUUGAUGACACUCACAAUCUUGUUGUACCACUUGCUCAUUUAAUGAUAUACCAUGUUAGUUGUUCAA